ensembl:lncRNA
CACGGAGCUGCAGCUGCUGGCUGCAGCGAGGAGGAGAGCUAAACCCCUGGCCCUGUCACUGAGCUGUCGAGAGCCCCUCAGCCCGCUACGAACCUGCUAAUCCCCCCUAACACACAUACAUCACCGGGAGAGCGGCGCAACACGCAAAUGAAUCCCAAACACACCGUGGGAGAGAAAGGAGGAACGGACGUUUGCAUGCAUAAACCGGAAAACACGGCGGAGCAAAACGCUGCAGCGCCGCGGAGCCUUAUCACGGCGAGAGGAGCGGUGCUGGUAAUGCUCUCCCCAGGGGAGCCUGGUCAAGCCGUCCCGGAGGAAAACCUCGCUCAGCGUCGCUUGUCAACACAGAGGGCCAUCAAUGG